UUAUCGGCCACAGAAAUCAAGGUAAACAUGUGUUAUCUAAAUGUGCUUUGCUAGCUGAGCUUGCACUCAUUUGUUAUCUUGAGGCCCUUUCAAGUUAUCUAACAUGGAUGUUAAAUUGUCUUCCUUUGUAGCACAGGAAUUUCAAUGGGAGCUGUUACUAGAAUCUCUGUUGCAGCAGUUGCCAUUAUAUUGUUUCUAGGAGUUUUGUCUAUACAUUGGUGCAUCUAGAAGAAAGAAACUGAAGAAGGCAUCAUUGCUUUGACCACCUUUCGAAGAUAACUCUAUUCACCAUGGACAAGGUAAAUCUCUUGGUUGGGCAUUAAUCUCUACAUUUUCCUUUUAGGAAUGCUCCUUCAAUGUUCCACCGAGGCCAUGGCAAUUUGAAAGUGAUUCAUGUUAGGAAAGAUUGAAUAGGUGGUUUGUCACUCCCAAGGUAUUCAAUAACGGUAAUGGCCAGCAUAAUAGGUGGUUGUUGAACUGUUUUAUGGGCUGUAAUGGUCGAUUUUUUUUAGCUAUUUCACUACCUUAUUUCAUCAGUAGCUGAUCUAAUUUUUGUUAUUUACUAUAUAUUAAGUUCAGUUUCUUAUUAAGGCC